UACAGAAGGUGCGAGCGUUAAUCGGAAUUACUGGGCGUAAAGGGUGCGUAGGUGGUUAGAUAAGUUAAGUGUGAAAUCCCCGGGCUUAACCUGGGAACUGCGCUUAAUACUGUUUGACUAGAGUACUGUAGAGGAAGGUGGAAUUUCCAGUGUAGCGGUGAAAUGCGUAGAUAUUGGAAGGAACAUCAGUGGCGAAGGCGACUUUCUGGACAGCUACUGACACUGAGGCACGAAAGCAUGGGGAGCAAACAGG
rnacentral:rRNA from 2 species